UAUCAAAGAAAUGGAUCUACGCUGCCAAUCAUUAGAGGAGGAUGUUAGACGAACUGCAGCGGGGAAAGAAGAAAUGGAGAUGCUGCUUAAAUCUGAAAUCGAGCAGUUAAAGUUUACCAUUGCUGAGAGGGACAGCCAUAUUGAAGAACUGAACAUAAGCCUUGAAGCAUUAUCCCAGAAGUAUGACGUACUGGUAACAGAGAAAGAUGCCCUAAAUGCCAGAGUUGCCUGCCUUGAUGAGAGGGACAGCCAUAUUGAAGAACUGAACAGAAGCCUUGACACAUUAUCCCAGAAGUAUGACGUACUGGUAACAGAGAAAGAUGCCCUAAAUGCCAGAGUUGCCUGCCUUGAUGAAGAGCUAAGUUCUAAAGAUGAUCAGAUACAUCAAAUGAACAACCAUUUGCACCAACUGCACGUUGAGCAUGUAGCGUUGAUUUCUGAAACUGAAGGGGCCCGUAAAAUGAUAGAGGAGUUG
rnacentral:lncRNA from 1 species